AUGGUGGAAUCCGAAAAACCUUACGAGUAGGAA
rnacentral:ncRNA from 1 species